AGCUUGUUGGCGGGGUCACGGCCCACCAAGGCGAUGACGGGUAGCUGGUCUGAGAGGAUGGUCAGCCGCACUGGGACUGAGACACUGCCCAGACUCCUACGGGAGGCUGCAGUCGAGGAUCUUCCGCAAUGGGCGAAAGCCUGACGGAGCAAUGCCGCGUGCGGGAUGAAGGCCCUCGGGUCGUAAACCGCUGUCACCGGGGACGAACCAAUGACGGUACUCGGAGAGGAAGCCACGGCUAACUACGUGCCAGCAGCCGCGGUAAUACGUAGGUGGCGAGCGUUGUUCGGAAUUACUGGGCGUAAAGGGUUCGUAGGGGGCUUGGAAAGUCUGGCGUGAAAUCCGGCGGCUAAACCGCCGAACUGCGCUGGAAACUUCCAGGCUAGAGCGUCGGAGAGGAGAGUGGAAUUCCUGGUGUAGCGGUGGAAUGCGUGGAUAUCAGGAAGAACACCGAAGGCGAAGGCAGCUCUCUGGACGACCGCUGACCCUGAGGAACGAAAGCGUGGGUAGCAAACAGGAUUAGAUACCCUGGUAGUCCACGCCGUAAACGUUGCGCGCUUGGCCUGGGGGGACUUUACCCCCUCCGGGCCGCAGCUAACGCGUUAAGCGCGCCGCCUGGGGACUACGGCCGCAAGGCUAAAACUCAAAGGAAUUGACGGGGGCCCGCACAAGCGGUGGAGCAUGUGGCUUAAUUCGAGGCAACGCGAAGAACCUUACCUGGGCUCGAAGCGCGGGGAUCAACCUGGUGAAAGCCGGGGGCCUCCCGCAAGGGGUGACCCGCGUAGGUGCUGCAUGGCUGUCGUCAGCUCGUGCCGUGAGGUGUUCGGUUAAGUCCGGCAACGAGCGCAACCCGCGUCGUCAGUUGCCACCGGGUAAUGCCGGGCACUCUGGCGAGACUGCCCGUGUCAUGCGGGAGGAAGGCGCGGAUGAUGUCAAGUCCGUAUGGCCCUUAUGUCCAGGGCUGCACACGUGCUACAAUGGCCGGCACAGAGGGACGCGAGGCCGCGAGGCGGAGCAAAUCCUGAAAACCGGCCCCAGUUCAGAUCGCAGUCUGCAACUCGACUGCGUGAAGUCGGAAUCGCUAGUAAAGGCGUAUCAGCAACGGCGCCUUGAAUACGUUCCCGGGCCUUGUACACACCGCCCGUCACAUCAUGGGAGCCUGUUGCACCCGAAGCCGCCGAGCCAACCGAAAGGGGGCAGGCGUCUAAGGUGUGGCCGGUGACUGGGAUGAAGUCGUAACAUGGUAGCCGUGGGGGAACCUGCGGCUG
rnacentral:rRNA from 1 species